UGGUGCAUGGUUGUCGUCAGCUCGUGUCGUGAGAUGUUGGGUUAAGUCCCGCAACGAGCGCAACCCUCGCCUCUAGUUGCCAGCAUUCGGUUGGGCACUCUAGAGGGACUGCCGGCGACAAGUCGGAGGAAGGUGGGGAUGACGUCAAAUCAUCAUGCCCCUUAUGACCUGGGCUACACACGUGCUACAAUGGGCGGUACAAAGGGCUGCGAACCCGCGAGGGGGAGCGAAUCCCAAAAAGCCGCUCUCAGUUCGGAUUGCAGGCUGCAACUCGCCUGCAUGAAGCCGGAAUCGCUAGUAAUCGCGGAUCAGCAUGCCGCGGUGAAUACGUUCCCGGGCCUU
rnacentral:rRNA from 1 species